CUCCACCAUUACCAUAUUUUGGCGAGCCAGCCCGGAGGAAGAGGUAAUCCCAAAGUUUGGGAUUUAUUCUCCUUUCUUUUUUCCCUUUGUGCUCCAUACAGGGGAAUCUCUUUCUUCAUCUUUUUCUUUCCAACUUGGGACCCUUGGUGGGUAGUCCCUACACAUGGAAGCAACUGUAGGUUUCUGGCUGUGGUCAGUGAAACUAAAGGGUUUCCAUGCAGAGAAGCCUGGCCACCACCACUCAGCUGGCUUAAGGAACUUGGGUCUUCUUCAUUGUUUUCUCCUCUUUUUCUUUUUCAGUCUUUCAGCAGCUGUUUCUUAGUAGAUCCUUGGAAAUUGAGGGCAAUUGACUGGGAUUACUCCCGGUACUGCCUGAAGGCCUAGCAAUGAAUGGGAAUCAAUUACCAUGUCCCUAAGCCAAACAGGGUCACCGGGACAGAGGGCGAGAGAACCCAGAAACCUGGCAUGCCGGCAAAAGGAGAUAGGCAACAAGAGACAAAAGAAGCCUAGCAUCUAUCAUGAGCCAGUCCCUCAAGGCUCAAGAAACUGACCAGGAUGGAUGGAGUAUUGACUGCACGUGCCUUACUUGCACCACAGCUGAGGGACACUGAAAGGCAGCCUUGGGUCAUAUACCUCAGGGGCAUGGUGACUGACUGGGCAAAGCUUUAAAGGAUAUCCUGUUUCCAGGUGAGAAAGGAGCAAAGCUGGGGCUGUCCUGGGCAUUUCCUCUGUAUCCCAAGAUGUUACAUUUUUUUAGGUGCAACAGGAGAGAGGAACAAAGCUGGGACUGUCCUGGGGAUUUGCUCUGUAUCGCAAGAUGUUACCUUUUUUAGGUGCAACAGGAAUAAGACCCAGGCCGUUUCAGGCAGUUCGUUGCUAUCUUAGCAUACUGCAUCCCAACACAUUCUACAGUUAUUCCUGAGAACAAUAAGCAAAUAACUUGGAGUGGGGAUAACUGGAUUUUUCCAGGGCUACCCAGAGAACUGACCUGUAUUAACUUUUUUAACAUGAAAUAAAUGUACUUAUCCAAAAAGCAAACAUGCAUUUAUAAACAUUUUGGAUAAUAUUUUAUAACAAUUUGAUUACCAAACAUUGGGCAUAGGUACAGCCCAUCAUCUUCCCAAACAAUAGGAGAAACCUAAAAUGCUAGCCAUCACAGGUAUAGUAAUAACAGCUUAAACAUAGCUACUACAGUCAAUUUCCUAAUGCACGAGGUGGUAAUCAUAGCUGCCUCUUCUACCACCCAUUCAUUCCAUAUUCCCUUAUCUUUGGUCAGUAUCAUGACUGCCCGGAGUGUGCCAACCUUCAUUACUGCAGUUACCUACUAUCUGAUUGUCUUCUCUGGAAUGAGUUGCUACAAUUUCAAUUGACCAGGACUAUUGUGCAAUUGGAGUACUAAGAGCACCUCAGUAAAUCUCUUGUUCCGGAUUGUUCUCUUUAUCCUCAGCAUACAUCAGUAACUCUGUAUCUCCUGGAUAAUUGGGAUCAAGCUCACUAGGUCAUAGAGUGAUGCUCCUUUUUUUGUCCGUUGCUUUAGGGUUACAAAGAGCCCAAAAUAGCCAGGGGAUAGUCUCUACUGCCAAUUAAUUGGAGCCCUGACUGGAUUCCUGGUGAAAAUAGUCUUUGUUUUGGCACUAGGUUUCAGUUGAUUAAUUCUGAGGCUAAAAAUUGUUAAACUGUGUUCUCUGGUAACAUGAAGAAAGCAGUCACUCCUGACUCUACCACUUAGUUCCACGAUACAUUGAUUUUUGCUACAGCAAGAUGGCACUGUCUACUGGAUACUGGGUUAGCACAUAUUUCAUAUACACUAGGACUCAAUGUACUGGUCAAUAGGUCUCAGAGAGUACUGUAACUAUGCUUUCAGCUCAUCCCUGGUAGAUUAAAUUAUUUCAGCAAAUGUUCAAUUUUCUUUUCUCCUAUCCUUUUCUCCCUAUCCAGCUUCAUAUGUUUUUCCACCAGUCUGACUUUAGGCUUAACCUGCUGACUUGCUUUAACGGAUAGAUUAUAAACAGAAGUGACUAUGCCAAUUCUGUGAUGAACAAAGGCUUUAAGAGACAUUGUGUGUGCCCUUUCAGUCUCUUACAUUCCUGAUACAAAAUAACCGCUAUGACUUCAGCCUCCACGUAUACAUGAGAUAUGUGAGGAACAAUCAUACACUAGACCUCAGCUAAGCCCAAGCAAGCCCAGGAAUGAUCUGCAGAUCCACAGCUAGCCAGCCAGAUGCUGAUGUAGACAUAAUGAUUGUCUUUAAGCCACUGAAGUUUUGUGGUGAUUUAGAGCUGAAAUUGCCUUUCCAAUUCCAUCAAGGCAGCUGCUUCUGGGUGAUGGGGUAUGUGAUAUCACUGGGAAAUGCUGUGGGCAUUAUACCAUUGUCCCACUGUCUUCCUUCUAAGUUGGCAAUUGUUAAAGGUGAUACUGAGUGAAAUACCAUGGUAAUGCCACAAAUGGAAGCAUAAAUGCACAAAUGGUAGGCCUGGCAGAAGCACUGCAUGGAGGAGAGAAAAAUCCAUACCGGACUCAGUAGUCUGCUCUUUUAAAAGAAACAACUGCUUCAUUCAUGGUGGGAAAGCAUAACGUAAUCAAUUAUAUUGUCACCAGGUAACUGAAUGAUAACCUCAGGACAGGGUUUGCAAGCUAAAGCUCUUCGGUAAAGUCUUGUCUCUGUUUUUAACAAAAUGUAAUUGAGUUACAACUACACUCAUUGAUAUAUUUACUCCCUAUUGCUGCUUUUGGGUUAUAAUGGCAGUCAGAGUUUAGUCGCUGCAAUACAGACCAUAUGGUCCACAAAGUCUAAGAUAUUUACUAUCUAGCUAUUUGCAGAGAAAGGUCGUAGACUCCUGCCUUAGCAGUUAUAUGCUAGAUCCAAAUCUGAAGCUUCCCUGUGAUUUCUUCUGUUGGUAGGUUGAUUACCCAGCACAUAGUUAGAUGCAUUUAAAUGAGAAAAAAAGGGGAGAAUUUAUAGCUCUUAUCUCUGCAAACCAAACUGAUAUAGCUCUGAUGAGGAACACUACCGUUCUUGGUCUUGCGCCCAUAGGAUUAAUGACAUGGGCACACGUGGAGUGGUUUUAAGGAGUGAAAAGUCUAAUAGGCAAGAAAGAAGGAAGAAGAAAACAGCUCCCCUGCACAGAGACAGAGGGAGGGGGGAUUAGAACAAAGAAUAAAACCCGUGUGCAGUGGAAAAGUGGCUGCUUAUAUGAGAAGGCUGGAGUAGGUGGUGUCUGAUUUGCAUAGGGCUCAGGGGAUUGGUUUAACCAGGCAUGUCACUCACGUAACCAGUGAAAAAACUAGCCCUGCCACCCUAGUCUUUUAAUAUGCAAAUACAGGGCACCUUGAUGUUCUACAUAAGUAGGGAUAUGCGGAGGCGGCCAUAUUGCCAGGCACGUUGGGGCAAGGGCAAGAAGAACUCAGCAGGAAUUGCCAUGUUUGGGUGGACCCAAUUCAUAAUGGAGGGCAUAUCUACAUCAAAGCUUGCCGGCCAGGCUCUAAAAGCCAGGGCUAUCCUGCUAGACAAUAAACGUUUCUGUAGCUGCUUUAAAAGAAACAAAAACUUCCCAAUGACCCCUUUUCCUUUCUGUCUGCCUAAAAUAAUUUCUCAAUAACUCCUAUAACAAAACCACUUUGGGAGCAUGAGCCCUUUGAGCAAUCACCAUAUUGGUUGAGAAAAGAACAGCAGGAUAUCUACAGGAUAAUUCCUACAUCUCCUUUAGACCUCUUGGCCAUCUGUUUUCUAGUGAUAGUCUUUUAAAUAUCUGACCAGUUGACCAACCAGUUAGCAAUGAGCAAUGGAUCAGUAUAGAUCCACAUAUGAGGCUAUUCUCUUCGUACACCAAGUGGACAAUUAUUUGUAUCACCUGAUGUUCUGAUUACUGAAGAGUAUUUUCUUUCAACGUUUUCUUUCUGGGCCACCCAGAAGUGAGGAUGGAGUAAUCAAAUGCAGGCACAGAAUGCCCUGGAGUUGGUCUUAACCAGCUUAGAUUUUUGACCGGGGAAGUAUGGCAAAGGGACACAAGGACAAAUGAGUAUAGAGUAUAGAUAUAUGCAGGGUGGAGACAAGGAAAUCAGACAAGAACCUUCUUGUCUCUAAAAGGAAUACCAGUGGUAUAUCUGAUUGUAUGUAAAUCAUAGCAGGUGUCAUUUUUGAGAGACAAAAGAAGAGAGUCUCCUGGUAACAAUGAGUAAGUAGUAUAACUAUUGGACUUCCAGACCCUACAUUUUGUGUAAUGCAGGAGGAAAAAUAAGACAGAAGCACAGCAAAAUAAGUAAGAGUAUUGCAUCAUUGGGCAUAAUGCCUGCAAU